GACGAACGCUGGCGGCGUGCUUAACACAUGCAAGUCGAACGGAAAGGCCCUGCUUUUGUGGGGUGCUCGAGUGGCGAACGGGUGAGUAACACGUGAGUAACCUGCCCUUGACUUUGGGAUAACUUCAGGAAACUGGGGCUAAUACCGGAUAGGAGCUCCUGCUGCAUGGUGGGGGUUGGAAAGUUUCGGCGGUUGGGGAUGGACUCGCGGCUUAUCAGCUUGUUGGUGGGGUAGUGGCUUACCAAGGCUUUGACGGGUAGCCGGCCUGAGAGGGUGACCGGCCACAUGGGGACUGAGAGACGGCCCAGACUCCUACGGGAGGCAGCAGGGGGGAAUAUUGCACAAUGGGCGGAAGCCUGAUGCAGCAACGCCGCGUGCGGGAUGACGGCCUUCGGGUUGUAAACCGCUUUCGCCUGUGACAAAGCGUGAGUGACGGUAAUGGGUAAAGAAGCACCGGCUAACUACGUG
rnacentral:rRNA from 1 species